rnacentral:tRNA from 1 species
AAAACUAUGCGGUAUUAGCACCCGUUUCCGGAUGUUAUCCCCCUCUUAUGGGCAGGUUACCCACGUGUUACUCACCCGUUCGCCACUAUCUUCUCAGUGGAAGCAAGCUUCCAUAGAAAAGACCGUUCGACUUGCAUGUAUUAGGCACGCCGCCAGCGUUCGUCCUGAGCCAGGAUCAAACUCUCAUGUAAUGUGGGCUCUUGUACAGAAACCCUCAUGAAAAGCUGAAUAGCUCUUAAUUUCUUGCUGACUUUAUGUUUGCGAUACGAUGUAUCGCCUUCGUUUGCUUUGACCGAAGUCUAAGCUCCCUGCACAUUUGGUUCGUUCAUUCUUUGUUCAGUUUUCAAAGGUCAAUCGCGCAUCACGUAUUACGUGAUUGCUUAUUUAUAUUAUCACGGCUCCUGCUGUCCGUCAAGCCUUUUCUGAAAUUUUUUCAGAAGCAUUAUCGGCUUGCAGAUGCGUGGAUCAGCAACUUUUAUAUAAUAUCACGCUCUAAAUCGUCUGUCAACAAUUUUUUCAAAUCAUUUCAAAGCCGAUUCUGGCGGACAACUUCUAUAUACUAUCAUCGCAACCAAAUGCUGUCAACGAUUUUUUAAUUUUUUUUAAAGACUUCCGUCACCACCCGUAUAAACACUGGCGUUCUUCACAAUAUGGCAUGUGGAUCAGCGGUCCAAACUCCCUGGAUUCCGACUUUCGCAUUCGGAUUCUCUGAUGGAUUUGUCCCGCUCACCAUGCCUAUUUAUAUCAAUUCACAGGUUGUGCUGUUUUUUUGGCGAUAUUCUCCAAAAAGUUCCGGAUAAGCGUCUGACCAUCUUUUGUGAAGAUGGACUCGGGAUGGAACUGCAGGCCAUAGACGGCAUGCUCCUUGUGCUUCAUCGCCAUAAUGACGCCAUCAUCGACACUUCUCGAGAGUAUUUCCAGUUCAUCGGGAAGGCUAUUUUCUUCGACAACCAGCGAAUGGUAACGCAUGACCUCGAAAGGGGAAGCGAUCCCUUGGAAAAGCGGAUCUCCGUUAUGCGUGACCAUGGAUGUUUUGCCGUGCUUCAGCGUUUCCGCACGAAUGACAUUCCCGCCAUAAGCAUACCCGAUGGCCUGAUGCCCAAGACAGAUUCCUAGCAAAGGUACUUUUCCGGCAAACUCCCGGACCACAUCAACGCAAAUCCCGGCAUCUUCCGGCACGCCCGGUCCUGGGGAAAGGAUGAUGCAGUCCAGGUCCAUCCCUUUCAUUUCAUCAAGUGUCAGGGCAUCAUUGCGCAGAACCUGCACAUCCGGAUUGAUUUCUCCGAUGUAUUGGUAGAGGUUGUACGUAAAGGAAUCAUAGUUAUCGAUCAAUAAAAUCAUUCAGAUUACCUCCUUCAAGGCCAUUGCUUUGUUGAGCGUCUCGGUAUAUUCCGAUUGCGGAACGGAAUCGUGCACAAUCCCUGCGCCGGCUUGAACAUAGGCGAAGCCGUCCUUCAGAAUGAUGGUCCGGAUGGCGAUGCAGGUGUCCAUGUUGCCAUUAUAGGAAAAAUAGCCGACCGCACCGGCAUAGAUGCCCCGCUUCGUUUUUUCCAAUUCGUCAAUGAUGCCCAUCGCCCUUAUUUUCGGCGCACCUGAUACGGUCCCUACAGGCAAACACGCGCUCAAGGCUUCAAAGCAGGUCAGACCCGGUUUCAAUUUGCCGGUCACCUUCGAAACGAUGUGCAUAACGUGUGAAUAAAUAUCCACUUCCAUGAACUUAUCCAGCUUGACGCUGCCGAAUUCGCUAAUCCUGCCGAUGUCGUUCCUUCCCAAAUCCACCAGCAUCACAUGUUCUGCCCGCUCCUUCUCAUCUGCGAGCAACUCUUUCUUCAAUUCAUUGUCUUCCUCUUCGUUCUUCCCUCUUCUGCGCGUUCCGGCUAUUGGAUUCGUCAUGACUUCGCCAUCCUGAACGGUGACCAGACUUUCCGGGGAUGAACCGACCACCUGGAAAUCACCCAGAUCGAUAUAGAAAAGGUAAGGCGACGGAUUCUUUGUGCGCAGUCUUCUGUAAAUAUCGAACGGUUCGGAUUCCGAUUUGAUAGUCAAGCGCUGCGAAAGGACAACCUGAAAGAUGUCGCCCGCUUUGAUGUAUUCUUUUGCUUUCUCGACGAGUUUACAAAAUUCCGCUUCGCUGACAUUUGAGGAAACUUCUUGAUUCGGAUUCACCUCUUGGAAAGGUCGGAUGCCAUUCGUCUGGUUCAUCGUUUCGGCUAACUUUUCCAGAUUGGCAGUGAUUGUUUCAUAAUCCUCCGUGUCCUCGGGGAAAACAUUAUGGACAAGCGUCAUUUUGUGUUGGUAGUGGUCGUAGCUGAUGAAUUGCUUGUAGAACAUCAAGUAGGCUUCAGGCGCCUGCAGUUCAUCCGGGUUCACAUUCGGCAGCUUUUCGUAUUGUCGGAUGACAUCGUAACCGACAUAACCGAUCGCGCCGCCGACGAAAGGCAACGGGAUAUCGGUCUUGAGAUACGGAAUCGACACCUGCUCUUUUACGUAAUCGAGCACCUUGCCUUUUUUGUGCACGGGUUGCCCAUCGGUGAUGAUCGUGACGUCUUCGCCCAUACUCGUGAUGCUCUUAUAAGGGUUCGAACCCAAGAAGGAGUAUCUCCCGAUUUCCCGCUCCGAAAAGACACUCUCAAACAAAAACUUAUGCUCCCCUUCGAGAUUGUAGUACAUGCCGAUAGGCGUCAAUUGAUCCGCAUUGACCGUCAAGUGUACCGGAAACACCUUAUUAUGCUUUUUUGCUGCUGCAAAUUCUGUUGCUGUCAGAUUAAACAUUCCAUUCACCCCUAAUGAGAUUUUUUGCUGUUUCUGCUUGAUUCAGGGGAUUUUGGGUACAAAAAAAGCCACAACAUCCCCUAUAAUGGGACGAUGUAGCCGCGGUGCCACCCAUAUUAGUUCUCUACUGUUGACUCACACCCGACACUGUCGUUCUUUGCGCUCCUUGCCUCCUUAUCGGAAUCAAGGACCCAAUGCGUCACCAAAAAAUGGGCUAUGCAUUGUUUUCGCGCUAAUACUACAGAAUCAAAAAAACACUUCCUCCUCAAAAGGACGAAAUGUUUCCAUUCGUUUGCCACCUCAGUACAAAACUCGCUCUGCGGGUACGGAUGUUACUCGAUACCCCGUCCUUUUAACGGCGGACUCCCGGUUUUUGCUACUAUAAUUUUCGCAUCACGUCUCAGAGAUCCAUUCACCGACAGCUACAGUGCUUGGCUUUCACUGCCCCAAACUCGCUUUGACUAAACGCCAUUGGUUACUACUUCUCAUCACAGAUUUUAUUAAUUUAAUUUUAAUCCAUUAUAAUCCUUUUCUCAUUAUUGUCAACUGAAAAAUAUUUGUCUUUCGAAAAACCACUGAGCCCAGGCAAUAGAAAAAGAAGCCGUUCAUAACAAAGUACUCCUUGUUAUGAACAGCUUCUUUUGUGAUACCGGCGGCCGGGGUCGAACCGGCACGCCCUCGCGGGCACUGGAUUUUGAGUCCAGCGCGUCUGCCAAUUCCGCCACGCCGGCAUGAUUAUGAAGAAUGCAAUGUUCCAUUUUGUUGUUAUGGAAAGGCGGUAACCGGAUUUGAACCGGUGAUAGAGGUUUUGCAGACCUGUGCCUUACCACUUGGCUAUACCGCCGAGAUGUUGCUAUUUAAAAAAAACUGGGCUAGCUGGAUUCGAACCAACGAAUGACAGAGUCAAAGUCUGUUGCCUUACCGCUUGGCGAUAGCCCAAUAAGAGGGCGACUGAUGGGAAUUGAACCCACGAAUGCCGGAUCCACAAACCGGUGCGUUAACCACUUCGCCACAAUCGCCAUAAUAUAAUGUUGAGACAGGGGUAGUAGGAAUUGAACCCACACCGACGGUUUUGGAGACCGUUGUUCUACCUUUAAACUAUACCCCUAUUCAGAGGAUGCUUUUUAAAGAAAUGGAGGGAGGCAGAUUCGAACUGCCGAACCCGAAGGAGCGGAUUUACAGUCCGCCGCGUUUAGCCACUUCGCUAUCCCUCCAUCAUAUAAAAAAAUGGUCCGAGACGGAUUCGAACCGCCGACACCUUGAGCUUCAAUCAAGUGCUCUACCAACUGAGCUAUCAGACCAGAAUAAAAUUGUAAAAACGGCUCCGACGGGAUUUGAACCCGCGAUCUCCUGCGUGACAGGCAGGCAUGUUGACCCCUACACCACGGAACCAAUGGAGGUUGACGGGAUCGAACCGCCGACAUCCUGCUUGUAAGGCAGACGCUCUCCCAGCUGAGCUAAACCUCCAGGGAUUGAAAAAUGAAGAGCCUAGGCUCCGGUGUAUCCUAUCUGUACAACAGCUAGGUUAAUGAUCCGUACGGGAAUCGAACCCGUGUUACCGCCGUGAAAGGGCGGUGUCUUAACCGCUUGACCAACGGACCAUAAGUUUGAAAACUGUUAAAUUGAGAUUGAAUGGAUAGAACUAACAUCCAUUCGUAUCCUGUCUGGAAAGCAGCUAAAGCCGCAACAGCUAGGAUGAUGAUCCGUACGGGAAUCGAACCCGUGUUACCGCCGUGAAAGGGCGGUGUCUUAACCGCUUGACCAACGGACCGUAAAUUUGAAAACUAUUUAAAUAGGAAUAAUUAGAUGGAGCUAACAUCCAUUCUUAUCCUGUCUAGAAAGCAACUAAAGCCGCAACAGCUAGGAUGAUGAUCCGUACGGGAAUCGAACCCGUGUUACCGCUGUGAAAGGGCGGUGUCUUAACCGCUUGACCAACGGACCAUAAGUUUAGAAUACAUAUUGCAAUGGAGGUUGACGGGAUCGAACCGCCGACAUCCUGCUUGUAAGGCAGACGCUCUCCCAGCUGAGCUAAACCUCCAGGGAUUGAAAAUCGUAGAGCCUAGGCUCCGGUGUAUCCUGUCUGUACAACAGCUAGGAUAAUGAUCCGUACGGGAAUCGAACCCGUGUUACCGCCGUGAAAGGGCGGUGUCUUAACCGCUUGACCAACGGACCAUCUUGUUUAUUUUUCUGAUAAAGCUA